UACGUAGGGCGCAAGCGUUAUCCGGAAUUAUUGGGCGUAAAGAGCUCGUAGGCGGUUCGCUAAGUCGGGUGUGAAACCUCCAGGCUCAACCUGGAGACGCCACCCGAUACUGGUGUGACUCGAGUCCGGUAGGGGAGCGUGGAAUUCCUGGUGUAGCGGUGAAAUGCGUAGAGAUCGGGAGGAACAUCUGUGGCGAAGGCGACUGCCUGGACCAGCACUGACACUGAGGCACGAAAGCGUGGGGAGCGAGUCGG
rnacentral:rRNA from 1 species